CAGCACAAGCUGCUCUGCUCCUCUCUCUCCUCCUCUGCUGGAAUUAUCUGAGUUUGUUGAGAGUGAACACUGACUCUCGUGUGGCUCAAACACAGGGAGAAACCGACGCUUCACUUCACUUCACUGCCUCCACGGUCGUGUUAAUCAGCAGCUGGAGGGCAGAGAGUGGAGGGGCUGCAGGGGGCGGACACCAGACCCAGAUGGACCCCGAACAUGAUGCACAGCGGUGACACGACAUUCAGCUGUCCGACUUUAGGGAAGUUUCACGUCGCACACACACACACACACACACACACACACACACCGUCGAGAAGAAGAAGAAGAAGAAGAAGAAGAAACAGAUGUUUUUACGACCUCCCUGGGGUCAUG